rnacentral:rRNA from 1 species
CGGGUGAGUAAUACAUAAGUAACCUGCCCUAGACAGGGGGAUAACUAUUGAAACGGAUAGCUAAGACCGCAUAGGUACGGACACCGCAUGGUGACCGUAUUAAAAGUGCCUCAAAGCACUAGGUAGAGGAUGGACUUAUGGCGCAUUAGCUGGUUGGCGGGGUAACGGCCCACCAAGGCGACGAUGCGUAGCCGACCUGAGAGGGUGACCGGCCACACUGGGACUGAGACACGGCCCAG